rnacentral:rRNA from 1 species
CGAACGCUGGCGGCGUGCUUAACACAUGCAAGUCGAGGGAUGAAGCACCUUCGGGUGUGGAUUAGCGGCGAACGGGUGAGGAACACGUGAAGAAUCUGCCUUCAACUCUGGGAUAACUCCGGGAAACCGGGGCUAAUACCGGAUAUGAGCCUUGGCCGCAUGGCCGGGGCUGGGAAGUUUUUCGGUUGAAGAUGACUUCGCGGCCUAUCAGCUUGUUGGUGAGGUAACGGCUCACCAAGGCGACGACGGGUAGCCGGCCUGAGAGGGCGACCGGCCACACUGGGACUGAGACACGGCCCAGACUCCUACGGGAGGCAGCAGUGGGGAAUAUUGGGCAAUGGAGGAAACUCUGACCCAGCGACGCCGCGUGAGGGAUGAAGGCCUUCGGGUUGUAAACCUCUUUCAGUAGGGAAGAAGCGAAAGUGACGGUACCUACAGAAGAAGCACCGGCUAACUAUGUGCCAGCAGCCGCGGUAAUACAUAGGGUGCAAGCGUUGUCCGGAAUUAUUGGGCGUAAAGAGCUCGUAGGUGGUUCGAUACGUCGGAUGUGAAAAUCAGGGGCUCAACCCCUGACCUGCAUUCGAUACGGUCGAGCUAGAGUUUGGUAGGGGAGACUGGAAUUCCUGGUGUAGCGGUGGAAUGCGCAGAUAUCAGGAGGAACACCGAUGGCGAAGGCAGGUCUCUGGGCCAAUACUGACACUGAGGAGCGAAAGCGUGGGGAGCGAACAGGAUUAGAUACCCUGGUAGUCCACGCCGUAAACGGUGGGCGCUAGUUGUGCGAACCUUCCACGGUUUGUGCGACGCAGCUAACGCAUUAAGCGCCCCGCCUGGGGAGUACGAUCGCAAGAUUA